CCUACGGGAGGCAGCAGUGAGGAAUAUUGGUCAAUGGGCGCGAGCCUGAACCAGCCAAGUAGCGUGAAGGAUGACUGCCCUACGGGUUGUAAACUUCUUUUAUAAGAGAAUAAAGUGAGGUACGUGUGCCUUUUUGUAAGUACUUUAUGAAUAAGGAUCGGCUAACUCCGUGCCAGCAGCCGCGGUAAUACGGAGGAUCCGAGCGUUAUCCGGAUUUAUUGGGUUUAAAGGGUGCGUAGGUGGGUUGUUAAGUCAGUUGUGAAAUUUUGCGGCUCAACCGUAAAAUUGCAAUUGAUACUGGCAGGCUUGAGUACAGUUGAGGUAGGCGGAAUGCGUGGUGUAGCGGUGAAAUGCUUAGAUAUCACGAAGAACACCGAUUGCGAAGGCAGCUUACUAAACUGCCACUGACAUUGAUGCUCGAAAGUGUGGGGAUCAAACAGGAUUAGAUACCCGGGUAGUC
rnacentral:rRNA from 1 species